AACGAACGCUGGCGGCGCGCCUAAUACAUGCAAGUCGAGCGAGAAGGUGUAGCAAUACACUUGUAAAGCGGCGAACGGGUGAGGAAUACAUGGGUAAUCUACCAUCGAGUGGGGAAUAACCAGCCGAAAGGUUGGCUAAUACCGCGUACGCCUCCGAAUCUUCGGGUUCGGAGGGAAAGCCACACUGUGAGUGCGGCGCUCUUUGAUGAGCUCAUGUCCUAUCAGCUUGUUGGUAGGGUAACGGCCUACCAAGGCUUUGACGGGUAGCUGGUCUGAGAGGACGAUCAGCCACACUGGCACUGCGACACGGGCCAGACUCCUACGGGAGGCAGCAGUAAGGAAUAUUGCGCAAUGGGCGAAAGCCUGACGCAGCGACGCCGCGUGGGGGAUGAAGGUCUUCGGAUUGUAAACCCCUUUCGGGAGGGAAGAUGGAGCGAGCAAUCGUUCGGACGGUACCUCCAGAAGCAGCCACGGCCAACUUCGUGCCAGCAG
rnacentral:rRNA from 1 species